rnacentral:rRNA from 1 species
UAAAGGCUUACCAAGGCGACCAUCGGUAGCUGGUCUGAGAGGAUGAUCAGCCACACUGGGAAUGAGAACGGCCCAGACUCCUACGGGGGCAGCAGUGAGGAAUUUUCCGCAAUGGACGCAAGUCUGACGGAGCAACGCCGCGUGCAGGAAGACGGCCUUCGGGUUGUAAACUGCUUUUCUGAGAGACGAGCAAGGACGGUAUCUCAGGAAGAAGCCCCGGCUAACUACGUGCCAGCAGCCGCGGUAAUACGUAGGGGGCAAGCGUUGUCCGGAGUUACUGGGCGUAAAGCGCUCGCAGGCGGUUCUCUCAGUUCCUGCUGACAGUCGUCGGCUUCACUGACGAAGGCGUGGGAAGACGGGAGAACUUGAGGGCUUCAGAGGGACACGGAAUUCCGGGUGGAGUGGUGAAAUG